rnacentral:rRNA from 1 species
CCGGAGUGGACGCAUCACUGGUGUUCGGGUUGUCAUGCCAAUGGCACUGCCCGGUAGCUAAAUGCGGAAGAGAUAAGUGCUGAAAGCAUCUAAGCACGAAACUUGCCCCGAGAUGAGUUCUCCCUGACCCUUUAAGGGUCCUGAAGGAACGUUGAAGACGACGACGUUGAUAGGUCGGGUGUGUAAGCGCAGCGAUGCGUUGAGCUAACCGAUACUAAUGAACCGUGAGGCUUAACCUUACAACGCCGAAGCUGUU